ACGCCCGUCAAUGUGGUUGUGUUGUGUAGACGUGAAACUCAUAUCACAGCCAUCUUGACGAGUUGAG
rnacentral:pre_miRNA from 1 species